UACGAAGGGGGCUAGCGUUGCUCGGAAUCACUGGGCGUAAAGGGUGCGUAGGCGGGUCUUUAAGUCAGGGGUGAAAUCCUGGAGCUCAACUCCAGAACUGCCUUUGAUACUGUAGGACUUGAGUGAAGUCGAGGUAGGCGGAAUUGACGGUGUAGCGGUGAAAUGCUUAGAUAUCGUCAAGAACACCAAUAGUGAAGACAGUUUACUAGACUUCAACUGACGCUGAGGCACGAAAGUGUGGGGAUCAAACAGG
rnacentral:rRNA from 1 species